rnacentral:rRNA from 1 species
CCCUUAGACGUUCUGGGCCGCACGCGCGCUACACUGACCAGUGCAACAAGCAUCCGUCCUUGGCCGACAGGCCCGGGCAAUCUUUGAACGCUGGUCGUGAUGGGGAUAGACUUUUGCAAUUUUUGGUCUUCAACGAGGAAUUCCUAGUAAACGCAAGUCAUCAACUUGCAUUGAUUACGUCCCUGCCCUUUGUACACACCGCCCGUCGCACCUACCGAUUGAAUGGUCCGGUGAGACCUUGGGAUUUGGUCUUUGAUACUUUAUUGUGUCGUUGACCGAAAAACUUGAGCAAACCUUAACGUUUAGAGGAAGGUGAAGUCGUAACA